rnacentral:lncRNA from 1 species
CCCGAUGUGUCGCGCGUACCUCCCCUCGCUCCCCCGUUCGCUCACCGCCGCCAAGAUCCGGUAAGCCUAAAAGGCAUGGCCACCCCUCCUCCCCUCCCACCCCAUGCCCCCUUCUCCAUCUCACCCACCACCACCAUGUGCAGGCACCGGGAGGCCACCUACCUUCCUCUCUCGAGCUUCUCUGCAGGUGAGCAUGGGGAGUGCCUCCCUGUGAGCACCGGCUCCGUCCGCGGGAUCUAAACUCCCCCCUCUCUCAAUGGAUUCAUGGUGGGGCAGUCCGGCAUGCGCACGCGUGCAGCACGGUUGUGGCGUCGAGGCAGCUCGUGUUGUUCCUUCAGGUAGUGGAGCGUUAGUCUUUAGUUCAGAAAAUAAUUGUUUAGAUUUUGCUGAUGCAGUGCGGUGAGCAAUUCAACUGUGUAUUUCUGAGAUUUCAACGGUGGCCUGGGAUUGCGCCGCCCGUGCCCUGCAUCGCCAGCGGCCUGGGCUCGCACCGCCCGUGCCCUGCAUCGCCAGCGGCCUCGGCUCGCACCGGCAAGCAGCUCCCCCGCGACCCCUGGAGCCGGACCCUCCCCUCCCCUGCCGCGCGACUCUGCUCUGCUCCUUCCGCCAUCCCCGCGCGACUCUCGCAGCCGGAUCCACCCCUCCACUUCUGCAACUCCUCUCUGCUCCUCCCUCCCGCCAUCCCCGCGCCACCACGACGGGCUACCAGCACGGGCAGCUGCUGCCGUCCACAACGCCCUACCCAGCGAGCCCCGCCUGGCCACGGCUCCUCAAGCGGCUGUACUCGACGGUGCUCGCGCAGUACUCUGACUCCGGCCCGCGGUGGAACUGCAUUGGUACCCUGCCUCCCACCCCUCCCCUCCCAAUCCCCGCCUUGACCGGGCCACCACUUCCCUUGCUCUCGGAUCUGGAGCCCUGCUCCUCCCUAACGAGUUGCACAUCCUGCUGACCUCCACCUCCUUUUCUGUGCAGCUUGGCCUCGUGCCGCAUGCAGUUUGUUGCUCCUCUCCAUGUGGUCCAUGCACAGGUUGCACCACCAUGGCUCGCUGGUAGUACUAUCAUCAGCAAGUCCGCUAGAAAAACAGGGUGUCCCAUGCUGUAGUUUGGCUAGGGGCAGCACGGGGUUCAGUUUAUUUUAGUUUUCAGAUUUGCAGUGUAGUCCAAGCUAUUCAUUAUUUUGUCAGAUCCACGACUCUGCGUGGGCUGCAAUUGUUGAAAAACAGAAAUACGUGGAUGAAGUUCAUUGUGUGUUUUCUCUGAAGAGAAAUCGAGUGAAAAUUGCAGUCUGUUGUUGUUUUGCUCUCGGGGUUCAUUUUACUUUUCUCUUUGUAGGGAAGAUGAAGUGAUGCAGUUCGGUUGCAUGCCCAGUUACUCAAUUUUGUUGUUGCUGAGAUCUGCACUUCAUUGUGAAAAACUGAAGUUCGUGUAGCCCAUAGAAUUUUUUGUGGUUCGACUGGUCGAGAGUACAAAUUUUGUAUGUGUGUGUCUGUGUCAAACAAUCAGAUAGAUGUGAAGCUCACUUUGUUCUCUCGCCUGGUUAGCUAUAAAACUCCUAAGUGGUUCACUAUAUCAAUGCAACAACUGCAGUGCGUUUGGUCCUCGAUGUGGUUCACUUUUGAGAGUCAUGUUCUUCACUUGCGCACAACAUUGAAAUGCGAUUUUUUUUUAGCAAAACAAUAAAAAAAGUAAUGUGGUUCGCUUAAAUAUAUGUCGCGAUUCACUUGCCCCAUCUGUGCGGUCAACUCUUGUUCAUAGAAACGUUGAAAAAAGACAACAAAAACUUGUUUGAGAAAAUCUACGCCCGACAAAAGAAAUUAUGCAGCUCGCUUGCCUGUCCGAUGCAGUGCGGUUUUCAUUCCGAAGAAGUGCGGUCGGCCAUAUGAUGUUGUUCAUCUCGUAAGUGCAAAAAAAAAAAUUACGAAAGCGGAAAAAAAAGUAAUGCGGUUCACUUUUUGAUAGUGUUGUCUUCAUUUACACCGGAUGUGAAGUGCACUCUAUU